CCUUCCUUUUAUGCUAAGCAUAGACUAACUGAGAUUGCAAAAAGUUUCAAUGGAAAUGCAAAGUGAAGAACUAACUGAGAAACUUAAAUGCGCAUCUUGCAUUUCCAUUCAAAUUUGUAUAAACUGAAAAGAGAAAGAACCAGCCCUGAAGAACAAACAUCUUUCCCUAGCUGUAGCCCUAGCUUUUCAUACUUGCUACUUCGGACUUGUUUCCAACAGAAAUCUAUGCAACAAUCCCACAGUUGCAGAAAAACAAAUCAUAGCACAAUUUAGUGAGGUUGUUUUCCGAAUAUCCUGUUCUAGCCAUUUCAUUACAUUUGGGAACUCGGAACUUUCCAAGUUUAUAAUUUUUGUCAAAAGGUGAGAAUAAACCAAAUGAUGGGUUAAUCCUAGGUUGUCUUCCCAAUUUACCCAGUAAGCUUGAGAAUAGCCCUAGCCUCUAGCUCAACCACCUCACCACCAGAUUAAC
rnacentral:lncRNA from 1 species